AGUAGCCUGGUCCCAGAUCUGUUUUAGUAGCCUGGUCCCAGAUCUGUUUUAGUAGCCUGGUCCCAGAUCUGUUUUAGUAGCCUGGUCCCAGAUCUGUUUCAGUAGCCUGGUCCCAGAUCUGUUUUAGUAGCCUGGUCCCAGAUCUGUUUUAGUAGCCUGGUCCCAGAUCUGUUUUAGUAGCCUGAUUUAGUAGCCUGGUCCCAGAUCUGUUUUAGUAGCCUGGUCCCAGAUCUGUUUUAGUAGCCUGGUCCCAGAUCUGUUUUAGUAGCCUGGUCCCAGAUCUGUUUUAGUAGCCUGGUCCCUGAUCUGUUUUAGUAGCCUGGUCCCAGAUCUGUUUUAGUAGCCUGUUUUAGUAGCCUGGUCCCAGAUCUGUUUUAGUAGCCUGGUCCCAGAUCUGUUUCUGCUCUUGCUAACUCCAUUGUUCAUUGUCAAGCCAAACAUGACAUGAAGAGUUGGCAGGAGAGUAGAACCACCCUGACACCAGGGUAGAAGACGAGGUCUGUUUUGGUCAGACGAGAACCACCCUGACACCAGGCUUGAAGACCAGGUCUGUUUUGGUCAGACUAGAACCACCCUGACACCAGGCUAGAAGACUAGGUCUGUUUUGGUCAGACUAGAACCACCCUGACACCAGGCUAGAAGACUAGGUCUGUUUUGGUCAGGCUAGAACCACCCUGACACCAGGCUAGAAGACUAGGUCUGUUUUGGUCAGGCUAGAACCACCCUGACACCAGGCGAGAAGACUAGGUCUGUUUUGGUCAGACUAGAACCACCCUGACACCAGACUAGAAGACUAGGUCUGUUUUGGUCAGACUAGAACCACCCUGACACCAGGGUAGAAGACGAGGUCUGUUUUGGUCAGACGAGAACCACCCUGACACCAGGCUAGAAGACGAGGUCUGUUUUGGUCAGACGAGAACCACCCUGACACCAGGCUAGAAGACUAGGUCUGUUUUGGUCAGACUAGAAUCACCCUGACACCAGGCUAGAAGACUAGGUCUGUUUUGGUCAGACUAGAACCACCCUGACACCAGGCUAGAAGACUAGGUCUGUUUUGGUCAGACUAGAACCACCCUGACACCAGGCUUGAAGACCAGGUCUGUUUUGGUCAGACUAGAACCACCCUGACACCAGGCUAGAAGACUAGGUCUGUUUUGGUCAGACUAGAACCACCCUGACACCAGGCUAGAACCACCCUGACACCAGGCUAGAACCACCCUGACACCAGGCUAGAACCACCCUGACACCAGGCUAGAACCACCCUGACACCAGGCUAGAAGACUAGGUCUGUUUUGGUCAGACUAGAACCACCCUGACACCAGGCUAGAAGACUAGGUCUGUUUUGGUCAGACUAGAACCACCCUGACACCAGGCUAGAACCACCCUGACACCAGGCUAGAACCACCCUGACACCAGGCUAGAACCACCCUGACACCAGGCUAGAAGACUAGGUCUGUUUUGGUCAGACUAGAACCACCCUGACACCAGACUAGAACCACCCUGACACCAGGCUAGAAGACCAGGUCUGUAUUGGUCAGACUAGAACCACCCUGACACCAGGCUAGAAGACUAGGUCUGUUUUGGUCAGACUAGAACCACCCUGACACCAGACUAGAACCACCCUGACACCAGGCUAGAAGACUAGGUCUGUUUUGGUCAGACUAGAACCACCCUGACACCAGGCUAGAAGACUAGGUCUGUUUUGGUCAGACUAGAACCACCCUGACACCAGACUAGCACCACCCUGACACCAGGCUUGAAGACUAGGUCUGUUUUGGUCAGACUAGAACCACCCUGACACCAGGCUAGAAGACUAGGUCUGUUUUGGUCAGACUAGAACCACCCUGACACCAGGCUUGAAGACCAGGUCUGUUUUGGUCAGACUAGAACCACCCUGACACCAGGCUAGAACCACCCUGACACCAGGCUAGAAGACGAGGUCUGUUUUGGUCAGACUAGAACCACCCUGACACCAGACUAGAACCCACCCUGACACCAGACUAGAACCACCCUGACACCAGACUAGAACCACCCUGACACCAGACUAGAACCACCCUGACACCAGACUAGAACCACCCUGACACCAGACUAGAACCACCCUGACACCAGACUAGACUAGACCAGGCUUGAAGACCAGGUCUGUUUUGGUCAGACUGUUCAAACAUUUACCAAGGCAUUAAUUAACUUGAUUUACACAGUUAAAAACUAAGUAGUUUAUUUACAAAAGCUCUAUUUUGAAUGUUGUAUUGAUCUUUGUGUUAUUGAUUAGAUUUGAUACGUAUGACUGACUAUGUGUCUCAAUCAAACUGUUUUACUGUGUGUCUAUUAGCCAAUUUAGCUUUAAAAACAUUCUAUUGAAGUAACAACCAACUUCAUUUGUGUUACAGUAAUUAUUGUAUGUCACAAUCUAGCUCUUUACGAAUAAAUGUUUUCUUCUGUUCA